CCUGUGGAGCGUCAUAAAAAAACGCGAGUAGCUUCGGCAAAAGCGGACGCGACGAAGUAGGAA
rnacentral:ncRNA from 1 species